rnacentral:rRNA from 1 species
CUUGUCUACAUAAGAGGUCCAGCCUGCCCAGUGACCCAGUUCAACGGCCGCGGUAUCCUAACCGUGCGAAGGUAGCGUAAUCACUUGUCUUCUAAAUAAAGACUAGUAUGAAAGGCACCACGAGAACUAAACUGUCUCCUUUUUCUAAUCAGUGAACCUAAUCUCCCCGUGAAGAAGCGGGGAUUUAUUAAUAAGACGAGAAGACCCUAUGGAACUUUAAACCCAUAACACCUGCCCAUAUCUAUUACCAUGCAGGAUGAUUAUAAGUUUUCAGUUGGGGCGACUACGGAGAAAACCCCACCCUCCGUGAUGAGUAUACAACAAGCUACAGCUUUAUGUAUCAGCAAACUGACACUAUUGACCCAAUAUAUUGAUCAACGAAC